GAUGAACGCUGGCGGCGUGCCUAAUACAUGCAAGUCGAGCGAACAGACGAGGAGCUUGCUCCUCUGACGUUAGCGGCGGACGGGUGAGUAACACGUGGAUAACCUACCUAUAAGACGGGGAUAACUUCGGGAAACCGGAGCUAAUACCGGAUAAUAUAUUGAACCGCAUGGUUCAAUAGUGAAAGACGGUUUUGCUGUCACUUAUAGAUGGAUCCGCGCCGCAUUAGCUAGUUGGUAAGGUAACGGCUUACCAAGGCAACGAUGCGUAGCCGACCUGAGAGGGUGAUCGGCCACACUGGAACUGAGACACGGUCCAGACUCCUACGGGAGGCAGCAGUAGGGAAUCUUCCGCAAUGGGCGAAAGCCUGACGGAGCAACGCCGCGUGAGUGAUGAAGGUCUUCGGAUCGUAAAACUCUGUUAUUAGGGAAGAACAAAUGUGUAAGUAACUAUGCACGUCUUGACGGUACCUAAUCAGAAAGCCACGGCUAACUACGUG
rnacentral:rRNA from 1 species